AAAUUUUGUAAAAUAAUAUAUUUAUAACUAAUAUAAUUACAUCCAAGAAAUACAAUAUUCAUCAGACAAAAUUACACUACUAAUUUUAAUUAAUGACUUAAAAAAGUAUUUUUCUAUCUAGUUUGUUGUUUGUUGUACAUGUAGAGCAGUGGAAUUUACAGAAACUUGCAAAGCGUUGAACUAACACCCAUAAACACCAGGUAGAGUCCAGGACUUCCGUAUGCGAGUCUUGGAUUGAAAUGGAAACCCUCUCCCUAACGAUCUUCCUUGGCCAGCCUGCCUGGAAAACGCAGUAGAGAAAAAUCAAUAGAAUCACAAAUUGCUGGAACCAUAUUCAACUAAUUGUGCUAGAUGAUACUGAAACAACUACACUAUUAUCAAAGGAUACAGAAAGAAUUGGAACAUCUGUUGGCCCCAGUGCAACUUUCACCAUUCCCUGCUGUAUCAGAAACAAUUUUCUUCUAUAUAUCAUGGCUUUGAUUUUAGAUAACCCAUUUGAUCCACAAGGUCUAGAAAUUCCUCACCCCAGUCUGCAGGUUUUGCAGCCAAAUCCUCAACUUCAGCUUCAAAUUCUGGUUCAUCAUCAGAGAUAACUUCUUCACUGGGAUUGCCACCAAUUGUAUCAUCAUUCAGCAACUCCUCUAAAAUAGUCUCAUUCACGGAACCCAAAUUGUCCACGCUACUCCCUUGUGUAGAACCUGCUACUGGAUCCCUGACAUCACUGCUUGAUUCAUCAUCCAAGGCAGCUGAGAAGAAUGUAUCUAUCUCUGCUUCUAUGGUUCCCGGUUCUUGGUUUGUGUAAUCCACAACUUGGCCAACA
rnacentral:misc_RNA from 1 species